AACGUAGGUGGCGAGCGUUAUCCGGAUUUACUGGGCGUAAAGCGUGCGCAGGCGGCUAUGCAAGACAGAUGUGAAAUCCCCCGGGCUCAACCUGGGAACUGCAUUUGUGACUGCAUGGCUAGAAUCUGGCAGAGGGGGGUAGAAUUCCACGUGUAGCAGUGAAAUGCGUAGAUAUGUGGAGGAACACCGAUGGCGAAGGCAGCCCCCUGGGUCAAGAUUGACGCUCAUGCACGAAAGCGUGGGGAGCAAACAGG
rnacentral:rRNA from 1 species